rnacentral:piRNA from 1 species
UGGAAUGUGGCCCAUUUGUUCUUUUACAUUA